rnacentral:rRNA from 1 species
GUCCACGCUGUAAACGAUGGGUGCUAGGUGGUGCGGGUAUUGACCCCUGCGCUGCCGUCGCCAACGCAUUAAGCACCCCGCCUGGGAAGUACGGCCGCAAGGCUAAAACUCAAAGGAAUUGACGGGGGCCCGCACAAGCGGUGGAGCAUGUGGUUUAAUUCGAUGCAACGCGAAGAACCUUACCCGGGUUUGACAUCCCAGGAAUCCCCCAGAGAUGGGGGAGUGCCCUUCGGGGAGCCUGGUGACCGGUGCUGCAUGGCUGUCGU